UCCAUUUUGCACCUGACUAAAAACAAGUUUUGAAUUCUUCCACCGUGGACCUCCUAACACGUAAGAGGUAAAGAGAGAUUGAAGAAAAGAAAAGAAUUCAGAUUACCAUGUUAUUUAUAUGGUGUUUGUUCUGUCCUAUGAUAGUCUCAAUAUCAGACUCUUUCAUCACAGAGCCAUUAAUUGCACAACCCUAUAAUGUUUACAUAGAGAUAAGUCUUAUGAUGUUUAGUGGUCCCAAGCAAGUGUACAUAGGAUCAUGGCCUUAUUGUGAUGAAGUCUCUUUAGAAUAAGAGCAGCCAAUAGAGAGGAAAAUCUCCAUUCAAGGAGCUCUAUCAUCCCCUCCCCCCAUGAAUUGUUAAACAGGCUACCCAAGGGCCAGCUACACAUGAUGUUAAUCACAUGGUUUAACAUCCUGCAUAUCUCCUGCUUCAAAGAUUGUAAAUAGCAACCACCAGGCCCCUCAGUCAGGAUCAGGUGCAUGGGGAUGAGGUUUAACCCUUUCCUUCCUUCCACACUGCAGUUCCGAUACCUGCCCUCACCAGGGGAAAAACAGCUAUUUGGCAUAUGAGGGGAGUUCUCACUGCUGCCAACAGAAGCUUUCCUCCCAUGCCAAACAGCAGCUGAGUGGGGGGUAUUUUUGUUGGGACUGUAGCAUAGGAGUUGAAAAAGGUGCAGGAAAGGGCAACUAAAAUGAUCAAGGAGCUAGAGAAACUGCCAUAUGAGAAAAUAUUACAGCAUUUGGAACUUUUGUUUCAAAAAAAGGGAGAAAAAGUGGGGAGAUAUUACGGAGGUGUAUAAAAUAAUACAUGGUGUAGAAAAAGGGAGUAGGGAAAAAGCAGUCAUGUGAAGUAUCUUGAGUCACUCUGUUUCCUUCCAUAUAUGACAGAACAGUAAAUAAAUGGAUCAAGAUCUUAGAAACUAUCCUAUGAAGAACAACCGAGAAGGGUAACAUGUGGAAUAUUAUGUCCCCUGACAGGUGUGUGCAGCAUAGGCCACCAGACCAAAUGCAGCCCACCAGCCAUAUACGAGGGCCUGCCAGCUAUCAAACCUCUGACUCAAUUUUUGCAGCCUGAAGUAUGCAUCAAAAAUAAGUUUAUUGGGCCUCUGGCAAGUUCCCAUAUAUAUUUGAUCAUCAAGCUGAAUAUGAAGCCCAGCUUCACGAUAAUGAUGUUCUUAAACAUAAAACUGAUAGGAAAUUUAAAAUAAUUAAGGGACACAAAUAUGAAAAGACCACAUGGUGUUACACAAAAGCAAACCAAC